rnacentral:rRNA from 1 species
AUUGAACGCUGGCGGCAGGCUUAACACAUGCAAGUCGAGCGAGCGGCGGACGGGUGAGUAAUGUCUGGGAAACUGCCUGAUGGAGGGGGAUAACUACUGGAAACGGUAGCUAAUACCGCAUACCAUCAGAUGUGCCCAGAUGGGAUUAGCUAGUAGGUGGGGUAAUGGCUCACCUAGGCGACGAUCCCUAGCUGGUCUGAGAGGAUGACCGGCAAAACUGGACCUGGACAACGGUCCAAACCCCAACGGGGGGCAGAGGUGGGGAAUAUGGAAAAUGGGGCGAAAGCCUAAUGCAGCCAUGCCGGGUUUGUGAAGAAGGCCUUGGGGUGGUAAAUCACUUUCAGCGAGGAGGCGUUCCUGGCAGAAGAAGCACCGGCUAACUCCGUGCCAGCAGCCGCGGUAUUC